GCCAGCAUCCACUCCAAUGUACAAUCCCAUCCAGCGCUCAAGAGAUGGCAUACCUUCAUGCUGUCUUCCAAUGUGGUGUCGUCAUUCUAACCUGGUUCCUAGCUGCACAGUCCAUGCCAUUUUCUAUGUGACAUUUUUUGGAGACGUGCUCGGCAAAGCCCAUCCCCUCUUGCCAGCAAGGCAGGAGUGUCCCUUCUGAAGUAAAAGCCAGAGGACAAGAUGGACUGGGAAACACUGCAAAGACAUUGCUCCUCGGCCUUUGGUGACAUUCCUCCAAGGUCCCCUCUCACAGGUGUGUUAUGAGACAUACCUCAGGCAUGAGUGGACGCAUCAACAAAAGGAAUAGCUAAACACAGCCUGAAAUAGGAUGCCUUCAAGGGGACAAACAGAAAUGUAGGAGGAAGGAUCUUCAAAGACAUGCCAAAUUACCGUGACUCAUUACCAUGGCCCUCUUAAGAUCAGUGCUCGCAAGAAGUAGUUUAUGCCAAACAAGUAUAGCAAGAAGAGCAACCUUGCUGGGUGGGUGAGGAAAAUCAGU
rnacentral:lncRNA from 1 species